rnacentral:tRNA from 1 species
GCGGGUGUAGCUCAGCUGGCUAGAGCGCUUCCUUGCCAAGGAAGAGGUCACGGGUUCGAAUCCCGUUACCCGCUCCA